AGCCUUACGGUAUUUAUGUAAGGUAGCUUCUGCUCACUGAAAUUUUAUAAAAAAAUUAAAGAGCCGCAGUACUUUGACUGUGCUAAGGUAGCAUAAUAAAUUGUCUUUUAAUUAAAGAAUAGAAUAAAAGAAGGUUUGGCGGGGGACUUUUUUUUUAGUUAUCUUAAUAAUUUACUUAUAAGGUGAAAAUUCCUUAAUUUUUUAGAGGGACGAGAAGACCCUUAGAGUUUUAAUAAAAAUCAUUUAUAUUUAAUGCUUUUUUUUUAUUGGGGCGAUAAGUAUUCAUUAAAACAGCACUAUAAUUUACAAGUCUUAAUAAGAAAGAAUAAACUACCUUAGGGAUAACAGCAUAAUUUUUUUAAAGAUUGUGACCUCGAUGUUGGACUAGGGACUUUAUAAUUAACAAUUAAAUAGAUUUGUUCUGUUCGAACUUUUAACCCU
rnacentral:rRNA from 1 species